UACGUAGGGUGCAAGCGUUAAUCGGAAUUACUGGGCGUAAAGCGUGCGCAGGCGGUUAUGUAAGACAGUUGUGAAAUCCCCGGGCUCAACCUGGGAAUUGCAUCUGUGACUGCAUAGCUAGAGUACGGUAGAGGGGGAUGGAAUUCCGCGUGUAGCAGUGAAAUGCGUAGAUAUGCGGAGGAACACCGAUGGCGAAGGCAAUCCCCUGGACCUGUACUGACGCUCAUGCACCGAAAGCGUGGGGAGCAAACAGG
rnacentral:rRNA from 1 species